rnacentral:lncRNA from 1 species
CACUGGGAGGGGCUAAACGGGGACUGGGAGGGGCUAAACGGGCACUGGGAGGGACUGGGAGGGGCACUGGGACCAGUCUGCGACAGAAAAGGGAGCAAGGGGUGACAGCAGGUGACACAGGUGACACAGUACAGGUGUCUCAGGUGACACAGGUGUCUCAGGGAUGUCUCAGGUGACACAGAUGACACAGUUCAGGUGUCCCAGGUGACACAGGUGUCUCAGGUGUCCCAGGUGACCCAGCUCAGGUGACACAGUACAGGUGUCCCAGGUGUCUCAGGUGUGCAGGUGACACAGGUGACACAGUACAGGUAACACAGUACAGGUGACACAGGUGACACAGGUGUCCCAGGUGACACAGUACAGGUGUCCCAGGUGUCCCAGGUGACACAGUACAGGUGACACAGGUGUCUCAGGUGUCCCAGGUGUCCCAGCUCAGGUGUCUCAGGUGUCCCAGGUGACACAGUACAGGUGACACAGAUGACACAGGUGUCCCAGGUGACACAGUACAGGUGACACAGGUGUCCCAGGUGACACAGGUGACCCAGCUCAGGUGUCUCAGGUGUCCCAGGUGUCCCAGGUGUCUCAGGUGUGCCGGUGUCCCCAGGUGCGGUGAAGGUGACCCCCGGGCACAGCCCCCAGGACCUGGCUCUGGCCCGGGCCCACGGGCUGCCCCUGCUCUGCGUCAUCGGGGACGAUGGCACCUUGUGUCCCCCGGGGGGGGGCUGGCUGCAGGGUGUCCCCAGGGUGUCCCCAAGGUGUCCCCAAUGUCCCCAAGGUGUCCCCAGGGUGUCCCCAGGGUGUCCCCAAGGUGUCCCCAAUGUCCCCCCCAAUGUCCCCAGGGUGUCCCCA